UACGGAGGGGGCUAGCGUUGUUCGGAAUUACUGGGCGUAAAGCGCACGUAGGCGGAUCAGUCAGUUAGAGGUGAAAGCCCAGGGCUCAACCCUGGAACUGCCUUUAAUACUGCUGGUCUGGAGUCCGGGAGAGGUGAGUGGAAUUCCGAGUGUAGAGGUGAAAUUCGUAGAUAUUCGGAGGAACACCAGUGGCGAAGGCGGCUCACUGGCUCGGUACUGACGCUGAGGUGCGAAAGCGUGGGGAGCAAACGGG
rnacentral:rRNA from 1 species